rnacentral:rRNA from 1 species
GGCGUGCCUAACACAUGCAAGUCGAGCGGAUAAUUAGCAAUACUAUCUUAGCGGCGGACGGGUGAGUAACGCGUGGGCAACCUGCCUUUUACUGGGGGAUAACACAGGGAAACUUGUGCUAAUACCGCAUAACAUCAUGAGAGGACAUCCUCAUAUGAUCAAAGGAGCAAUCCGGUAGAAGAUGGGCCCGCGUCCGAUUAGCUAGUUGGUGGUGUAACGGACCACCAAGGCGACGAUCGGUAGCCGAACUGAGAGGUUGAUCGGCCACAUUGGGACUGAGACACGGCCCAGACUCCUACGGGAGGCAGCAGUGGGGAAUAUUGCGCAAUGGGGGAAACCCUGACGCAGCAACGCCGCGUGAAGGAUGAAGGUCUUCGGAUCGUAAACUUCUUUGAUGAGGGACGAAUAAUGACGGUACCUCAAAAACAAGCCACGGCUAACUACGUGCCAGCAGCCGCGGUAAUACGUAGGUGGCGAGCGUUGUCCGGAAUUACUGGGUGUAAAGGGCGUGUAGGCGGGAAUGCAAGUCAGAUGUGAAAUACCGUGGCUUAACCACGGGGCUGCAUCUGAAACUGUGUUUCUUGAGUGUCGGAGAGGAAAGUGGAAUUCCCAGUGUAGCGGUGAAAUGCGUAGAUAUUGGGAGGAACACCAGUGGCGAA